CGCCUCAUUUAACAUAAGAAUGGGCACUGCCAGUCAGUGUCCAGAACUGACUAAUGUGGCGAAACUGACACACAGGUUAUGCUUCCAUCACAGUAGAUACGUUACAGUGGUGACAAUGAGACCUGUAACAUUU
ensembl:snoRNA